rfam:Lutzomyia longipalpis Contig3525, whole genome shotgun sequence.
GCCGUGAUCGUCCAGUGGUUAGGACAUCUCGUUGUGGCCGAGAAAACCCAGGUUCGACUCCUGGUCACGGCA